rnacentral:rRNA from 1 species
UCCAGACUCCUACGGGAGGCAGCAGUGGGGAAUAUUGCACAAUGGGGGAAACCCUGAUGCAGCAACGCCGCGUGAGUGAAGAAGUAUUUCGAUAUGUAAAGCUCUAUCAGCAGGGAAGAAGAUGACGGUACCUGACCAAGAAGCUCCGGCUAAAUACGUGCCAGCAGCCGCGGUAAUACGUAUGGAGCAAGCGUUAUCCGGAUUUACUGGGUGUAAAGGGAGCGUAGGCGGUGCAGCAAGUCAGAAGUGAAAGCCCGGGGCUCAACUCCGGGACUGCUUUUGAAACUGUUGAACUAGAUUGCAGGAGAGGUAAGUGGAAUUCCUAGUGUAGCGGUGAAAUGCGUAGAUAUUAGGAGGAACACCAGUGGCGAAGGCGGCUUACUGGACUGUAAAUGACGCUGAGGCUCGAAAGCGUGGGGAGCAAACAGGAUUAGAUACCCCCGUAA